rnacentral:rRNA from 1 species
UGGUGGAGUGAUUUGUCUGGUUAAUUCCGUUAACGAACGAGACCUCAGCCUGCUAAAUAAUAGCAUCAAUGAUCUUCAUUGGUGGCUGUUUCUUUAGAGGGACAUGGAGUAUCAAACUCCAGGAAGAUUGAGGCAAUAACA